rnacentral:lncRNA from 1 species
CUGAGAGUUUAUCUUCAAGCUCCACUAACCUUCUACUACCACCAUCCUACAUAAACUAUUUUUCUAGGAAUACGGCAUUUUGACUUAUAAUCACAUUAUGGUCUUGUGAAAAGUAGAAGUAGUAUCCCAUAGAUUCUUUUGGAUACCCUAUAAAGUGAGCUAUAAUAGAUCUAUCCUCUAACUUAUCCAUCAUCUGUCUCUUAACAUAGGUCGGAUAUCUCCAAGUCUUAAGAUAACCCAGACUCAGCUUCUUACCGAACC